GAUCACUCGGUUCAUACAUCGAUGAAGAACGCAGCAAAAUGCGUUAC
rnacentral:rRNA from 3 species